AGCGUGCGUGCUGUCUUUGUAUUGGCCAUUAAACGCUGCUGUCAACGUAGCCGAAGGGCUGAAGAGAACGGCUGAACGGCAUGGAAAUGCCAGUGCCAGUGGAAAUGAAUAUGGAGGUGUCGCCCCACAAUUUGUCUCAAUAGAUUCCGUCGUGGCUGGCCUUAUCAGCACAGGUAGUGCGCUCACAGGUGAGGGUGCUCGCCCUCGCCCCCGCCCGCUCCCUUUACCUGCGACCCGGUCGUGCGCAUCCAUUCAAGCCAACUCACAGCUGAGGUCACUACUAUAGUGCUGAAGUAAUUGGAUCUUCAUUACAUUAAUAUCUAAAACAGGAAGGAUACCAUGACAUUCUUAUGUCUCAAACUUACUUCCAACGAUAUUACUAUACUUACUUCUAUAAUCUGUACCUGUGACAAUUGACAACUCCAGUCGCUGGAGCGAUCUGCUCCACACCGCCGCUGUCGCCGGCGACUUUAUCAGAAGACAAGGCGAACACGCCAGGAGAACCCAGCCAUAAUGUUCUUUGAUGUUUGCACGAGACGGAGUGUCAUUAAUUGAUUUAUUACCCAAGUUGAUUGCCUGGGCUUCCUUUCGGCCUGCUCUGGACAGAUUUGGGGAUGUCCAAGUGGUUAGAUGGCCAACUAAUUAGGUAAAUGUGUUUGCUCUGAUGUUACCUGACUCCGGGUGAUAUCUUCUCGCCUUGGCAGAUAUAUUUCCAGCGGCGAUAACGUCGAGGGUGGGAACAUCGUCGUCGAUCGGCCACUUAGAUGAUUGGGAUGGCGACAAGGUGGUCCGCUUCGGCUGCGUUUCGUCAUCCGUUGUUUGCUCCAUUUCGAUCAUUGUUUGAAGUGGGAACAGAAACAAAUGUGUGCACUUGCGGCCUGUUUAUUCAGCUUGGCAAUGUCUCGCUUGUGAACAAUAUAUACCACUAUAUGGCCA